GCGAGCGUGGCGAAAUUGGUAGACGCAGCAGACUUAAAAUCUGCCGACCUAGGUCUUGCGGGUUCGACCCCCGCCGCUCGCACCA
rnacentral:tRNA from 1 species